AUCAUAAAUGGACUCUCAACCAGAUAGAGCAAGCUUGUGAAGAUGUAGAAUGUCUUGGCUUUCUGCUGGACUCACGUCUGCUUGAAGAAGUGAGAUAAUUAUUCUCUGUUGAUUAGAAUGGAAAAAGAAAUGCCAUUUAUUUGUAAAAAACCACAAUUGUAAGAGAAAACAUGAGAGGGGGUCCUUGAGAUAAGCAAAUGAUUCAUGCUGGCCUUGAAUUGUGUUUUGCCUGCUCCAUAGCAACUUUCAGCCGAGAGAAUGGGGCCCAGCAGCAGAAGAACUACGUUUACAGACUUCGCAAUUUUCCCGCAGUCCUGGCUCCUUCCAGGAACAUUCCUUCUAAUGCGCCCAGAAAACAAAUUGGGCUGGUUUCACCAUGACAACUACAAAUCUAAUCCAACAUGAAAAGUUAGAGGCAGGCAAUUUGUUAUAUACAAUUCAAGAGUUACCAAAAAAUCCUUCGGAUUUGGGGGCCUUCCACACCUCUUAGAAGUUCUCAGUGAAAAGUGCUGGUCAAAUCUAUGACACAAGCCAAACAAAGAUAAGAGUCCGCCGUGUAAAGCUAAAGGGACAUCACUGUGCAGUGGAGGGUGAGCGGCCGGAGCUGUGUCAGGAGACAGAUGAAGAUGCAGGAGAAGAAAGAUUCAGGGAGCAGAGAGGCAACUCCUGGUCAGUAAAGAUGACGGAGACUGGCAGCACCAGUGGCAGGAGGAGGGGAAAUGCCAGCAUCAGAGCAGAGGAGUCAGGGCACGGACACACGCCCUUCCAGCUGGGUUGAAAUUCAGCUCCGUUACUUGCUGGCUGCCACUUGCCUUCUCUGUGCCUUAGCAUCAUCAGCUAAUAAUGCCUCAAAAGGUUGCUGGGAAGAUUAAAAGUGUCAACAUGCAAAGUGCUUAGAAUAGUGCCUGGCAUGUGGUGUAUCUCCUGAAAGCCGUCCCCAACGAACAUUCUGCAUGCAGAUCUCAUCUCAGCAUCAGUUUCCUGGGGAUUCACCAUAAGAUUGUUGGUACUGUGGGUGGUCCUAGAAAUGAGACCUUAAAAAGGGAUUUGGAAGCUGGGUCAUUCACUGGUUGGUUGGCAACAAGAAUCCCAUCUCUGGUGGUAGGUGUGGUGCUGAUAGCGGAGCACACAGUGGUAGAGCAAUUUCGAAAGCUCUCACCUGUGGUGAACUGGGACAGGAUACUUGUG